GUCAAGUGACUAAGCGCACACGGUGGAUGCCUUGGCAGUCAGAGGCGAUGAAGGACGCGGUAAUCUGCGAUAAGUCUCGGGGAGCUGAUAAGCAAGCUUUGAUCCGAGAAUUUCCGAAUGGGGCAACCCACCUGCCAUAAGGCAGGUAUCUCUUAGCUGAAUACAUAGGCUUUGAGAGGCGAACCGGGGGAACUGAAACAUCUAAGUACCCCGAGGAAAAGAAAUCAACCGAGAUUCCCCCAGUAGCGGCGAGCGAACGGGGAUUAGCCCUUAAGCAUCUUGGGUUUUAGUGGAAGGCUCUGGAAAGUGCCGCCAUAGUGGGUGAUAGCCCCGUACACGAAAGAACCCUUGAUGUGAAAACGAGUAAGGCGGGACACGUGUUAUCCUGUUUGAAGAUGGGGGGACCAUCCUCCAAGGCUAAAUACUACUGACUGACCGAUAGUGAACCAGUACCGUGAGGGAAAGGCGAAAAGAACCCCGUUGAGGGGAGUGAAAUAGACCCUGAAACCGUGUGCGUACAAGCAGUGGGAGUC
rnacentral:rRNA from 1 species